rnacentral:piRNA from 1 species
AGGCCUAUAUAAGCAGCACCAAUUCUG